AUUGAACGCGGGCGGCAUGCCUUACACAUGCAGGUCGAACGGCAGCACGGGUGCUUGCACCUGGUGGCGAGUGGCGAACGGGUGAGUAAUACAUCGGAACAUGUCCUGUAGUGGGGGAUAGCCCGGCGAAAGCCGGAUUAAUACCGCAUACGAUCUACGGAUGAAAGCGGGGGACCUUCGGGCCUCGCGCUAUAGGGUUGGCCGAUGGCUGAUUAGCUAGUUGGUGGGGUAAAGGCCUACCAAGGCGACGAUCAGUAGCUGGUCUGAGAGGACGACCAGCCACACUGGGACUGAGACACGGCCCAGACUCCUACGGGAGGCAGCAGUGGGGAAUUUUGGACAAUGGGCGAAAGCCUGAUCCAGCAAUGCCGCGUGUGUGAAGAAGGCCUUCGGGUUGUAAAGCACUUUUGUCCGGAAAGAAAUCCUUGGCCCUAAUACGGUCGGGGGAUGACGGUACCGGAAGAAUAAGCACCGGCUAACUACGUG
rnacentral:rRNA from 1 species